rnacentral:lncRNA from 1 species
UGUGUUUGUAAUGAUCGGCCGCAAGGCUGGGGUGUGCAUUUUGUCCCCUGUAUUCCUUGGCUGUCAUUCUGCCACGUUAAGUUGCCGCCAUGAAAUAAAGCAUGUUUCAAGU